rnacentral:rRNA from 1 species
AACGAACGUUGGCGGCGUGGCUUAGGCAUGCAAGUCGAACGCGAAUCCCUGGGCAACUGGGGAGGAGAGUGGCGAAAGGGGCAGUAAGGCGUGGGUAACCUACCCUCCGGGCCGGGAUAGCUUCGGGAAACUGCAGGUAAUACCGGGCGACGCAGCGAGAUCGCAUGGUCUUGCUGCCAAAGUUCCGCCGCCGGGGGAGGGGCUCACGUGGUAUUAGCUAGACGGCGGGGUAACGGCCCACCGUGGCAAAGAUGCCUAGCAGGUGUGAGAGCACGACCUGCGCCUCUGGCACUGAGACACAGGCCGGACACCUACGUGUGGGAGCAGUGGAGGAUGUUUGACAAAGAGAGCAAGCCUGUCCGAGCAACGCCGCGUGUGCGAUGAAGGCCUUCAGGUUGGAAAGCACUGUCGAGGGGGAGGAAGCCGCAAGGUGAACCUAUCCCUGGAGGAAGCACGGGCUAAGUUCGUG